AGCAGCCGCGGUAAUUCCAGCUCCAAUAGCGUAUAUUAAAGUUGUUGCAGUUAAAAAGCUCGUAGUUGAAUUUCGGGAUUUGUCAGUUGGUCGGGCUUCACUGUCCGUACUGACUUGAUGGAUUCUUACCUUCUGAAUAACCAGCAUGCUAUUUAGUUAGUGCGUUGGGGAAGCAGAUCUAUUACCUUGAAAAAAUUAGAGUGCUUAAAGCGGGCUAGUGCUUGAAUAGAUUAGCAUGGAAUAAUAAAAUAGGACGGCAUGGUUCUAUUUUGUUGGUUUCUAGGAUCACCGUAAUGAUUAAUAGGGAUAGUUGGGGGCAUUAGUAUUCAAUUGUCAGAGGUGAAAUUCUUGGAUUUAUUGAAGACUAACUUCUGCGAAAGCAUUUGCCAAGGAUGUUUUCAUUAAUCAAGAACGAAAGUUAGGGGAUCGAAGACGAUCAGAUACCGUCGUAGUCUUAACCAUAAACUAUGCCGACUAGGAAUCAGACGAUGUUAAUUUUUAAUGACUCCG
rnacentral:rRNA from 1 species